CCUACGGGGGACAGCAGUGAGGAAUAUUGGUCAAUGGGCGCUAGCCUGAACCAGCCAUGCAGCGUGAAGGAUGACGGCUCUAUGAGUUGUAAACUGCUUUUGUACGAGGGUAAACUCCGGUACGUGUAUCGGGUUGAAUGUAUCUUACGAAUAAGGAUCGGCUAACUCCGUGCCAGCAGCCGCGGUAAUACGGAGGAUCCGAGCGUUAUCCGGAUUUAUUGGGUUUAAAGGGUGCGUAGGUGGGUUGUUAAGUCAGUGGUGAAAGUUUGCGGCUCAACCGUAAAAUUGCAAUUAAUACUGUUAGACUAGAGAAUAGUUGCGGUAGGCGGAAUGUGUGGUGUAGCGGUGAAAUGCUUAGAGAUCACACAGAACUCCGAUUGCGAAGGCAGCUUACUAAACUAUAACUGACGUUGAGGCACGAAAGUGUGGGUAUCAAACAGGAUUAGAUACCCUAGUAGUC
rnacentral:rRNA from 1 species